CUACGGGUGGCUGCAGUGGGGAAUAUUGGACAAUGGGCGAAAGCCUGAUCCAGCCAUGCCGCGUGUGUGAAGAAGGCCUUCGGGUUGUAAAGCACUUUCAGUGGGGAAGAAAGCCUUGGGGCUAAUACCCUCGAGGAAGGACAUCACCCACAGAAGAAGCACCGGCUAACUCCGUGCCAGCAGCCGCGGUAAUACGGAGGGUGCGAGCGUUAAUCGGAAUUACUGGGCGUAAAGCGCGCGUAGGCGGUCUGAUAAGCCGGUUGUGAAAGCCCCGGGCUCAACCUGGGAACGGCAUCCGGAACUGUCAGGCUAGAGUGCAGGAGAGGAAGGUAGAAUUCCCGGUGUAGCGGUGACAUGCGUAGAGAUCGGGAGGAAUACCAGUGGAGACGGCGGCCUUCUGGACUGACACUGACGCUGAGGUGCGAAAGCGUGGGUAGCAAACAGGAUUAGAUACCCGGGUAGUC
rnacentral:rRNA from 1 species